ACAAGCACAUAGAGCACAUCAACGUGUGAUAUGGUACUUUUUGUAGAACGGUCCGGCGAGCGAUUGUACGUUGCGAGCUUAAGCACUUCAGGUGCGGAGGCGUAGCGAGAGCGAGUCUGAAUAGGGCGUUCAGUAACGUGCAAUGGGCCCGAAACCGGGUGACCUACCCAUGAUCAGGCUGAAGUGAAAGUAAAAUUUCAUGGAGGGCCGAACCGACCUCCGUUGAAAAGGCGGCGGAUGAAUUGUGGGUAGCGGAGAAAUUCCAAUCGAACUCGGAGAUAGCUGGUUCUCCCCGAAAUAGCUUUAGGGCUAGCCUCAUGUUAGAUACCCGGAGGUAAAGCACUGAAUGGCCUAGCGCCCGAGAGGGUAGCGAAGCCUAUCAAACUAAGAAUGCCGGAGUAUCGAUGCAUGGGAGUCAGACAGUGUGAGAUAAAUCUCAUUGUCAAAAGGGAAACAGCCCAGAUCUACAGCUAAGGUCCCAAAUUGUAUCUAAGUGGAAAACGAUGUGAAAAUACACAGACAACCAGGAUGUUGGCUCAGAAGCAGCCACUCAUUUAAAGAGUGCGUAAUAGCUCACUGGUCGAGCGUCUUUGCGCGGAAAAUUUAACGGGGCUAAGAUACAAACCGAAGCUUAGGCUGCAUCGUAAGAUGCGGGGUAGGGGAGCGUUGUGUAAGCGGAGAAACAGUAGCGUAAGCGGCUGUGGAGUUUACAGAAGUGAGAAUGCCGGAAUGAGUAGCGCGAAUGCAGUGAGAAUCUGCAUGGCCGGAAACCUCAGGUUUUUGGAGGAAGGUUCGUCCGCUCCAAGUUAGGCGGGAGCUAAGGUGAGGCCGAAAGGCGUAGCCGAUGCACAGACGGUAGAGAUUCCGUCCCCACCGAAAGAUUUAAGCGCAGGGACACUUUUUGAAGGUCAGAGCCGGGUGUUGGUUCCGGUAGUGAUCGAGGGAAAUUUAGUACCGAAGUCUGGCUGAAUGAGAGGCGAGAAAAGCUGCGUGUAUAUCUAAGGUGCCCGUACCGCAAACCGACACAGGUAGGUAGGAAGAAGAUUCUAAGGCCAACGGGAGAAGGGUUGUUAAGGAACUCGGCAAGUUGACCCCGUAACUUCGGAAUAAGGGGUGCUCACGAGAGUGAGCCGCAGAGAAUAGGCCCAGGCAACUGUUUACCAAAAACACAGGUUUGUGCUAAAUCGAAAGAUGACGUAUACGAGCUGACGCCUGCCCGGUGCUGGAAGGUUAAAAGGAGAUGUGCAAGCAUUGAAUUGAAGCCCCAGUGAACGGCGGCCGUAACUAUAACGGUCCUAAGGUAGCGAAAUUCCUUGUCAGGUAAGUUCUGACCCGCAUGAAAGGCGUAAUGAUCUGGGCACUGUCUCAACAGCCCGCCCGGCGAAAUUG
rnacentral:ncRNA from 1 species